GCGCUAACCGCAAGGAGGCAGCUAACCACGGUAGGGUCAGCGACUGGGGUGAAGUCGUAACAAGGUAGCCGUAGGGGAACCUGCGGCUGGAUCACCUCCUUUCUAAGG
rnacentral:rRNA from 1 species